GAAAGAAUCCAUAAGAUAGAGAGGAUUCAGUUUCUGUGGGCAUUUACACAACUAAACUUUGUUUAAACUAAAAAAUUGAAAACUUCUUAUGUGUUUUGGCCAUUCAUUUACACAACAGCAGCAUUCUGGGUGCCUGAAAAUGCAAACUUUUGAAAACAGGGGUCCAUUCUUCGUACCUUGCUUAAUAAAUCUGAGAUGGUUUGAAAGAUGCCAGAUCUUCUAAUCAUGAUAACUGAUCUCUGGCUAAUUUGGUUCUUCAAACGAAUUUGUGGAUUUGAUUAAAAUACCUGGAUUAAGCUGUCUGAGAUUACUAUGAGUUCUCAUGUUCCCUGAAAAGGGCAGAUGUAUCAAUACCAAAAACUGUAUCAAUGUAUCAAUACACAAAAAAAAAGAAAAAAAAAAAAAAAAAAAAAAAAAAAAAUUGGCUGGUGGCAAGACAGCAACAUAUUGACAUCAUAUAAUUAACAAAAACUUGACACAUUUCUGAACAUUUACAGUUUAAGGAAACAACCAAACAAAUUAAAUAGUUAUAAUAGAUAAAGGAAAUGUGCACUGUUUUUAAUUCUUUUUAUUUUUUAUUUACAAGAUUCACAAUUAUUUAUAUUCACGAUUUCUAAUAUUUUAUAAUAUUAUAACAUUAUUUUGUAAUUAUUAUUCUUUUAAAAGUAUUGUCCCUGGAUCAAUAGAGUACUCUUGUAUUAAAGUAGUGGCUGGGACAGAUUUUGAGUAUCACUUCUGCUUAAAAAAACACAUUCAAUUCCUGUUUACAUAAAAUAAGCCUGCUCCCGAGCAAGUUUAAGCUUACAGACCUGUUGCUAUGACAGGAACUACAAGAUUAGCUUUGAAGAACCAAACAAUCCAAGAUCAUGCCAAAUCAUCAACAAUCAAAUCCAGCGUGAGUGAGCGACGUAUGAAGAACAGACCUCAGGUUUUGAAGUGCAAACUUUUGAAAACAACACUUUUAUCAUCUCUGUGUAAACUACAAAAACUACUUGUUCCUGAUGGUUGGUCUUGUCUGUCAGUCUUGUUUGCCUUAUGGAAGGACUGUCUCCUGGAGAGCCAGGCCUAAUUAAACACACAUGAACCAGCUUAUCACAGUCUUCAGGAUGGUAGUAGAAACUUCAGGCAAGUUGGAACUGUGCUUGAAUGCAGUGUCAUGGAGAUUAUAUACAAAUUAACUUAAAUUACUUGUUUUGUAAUGUUCAGAUUACAAAACAAGUAACUUUAAAAUGUACAAUUAUGUUGAUUGUCACGUUUGUUGAGUUUUGUAUGUUGAGUGUUGAUUAGUGUGUGCCUAGUUGCCGACCUAACCAUUCUACUAGACACAAAAGUAUUGCCAACAGCUGGUUAAUUGUUUAUAAAAGAUGAUUUUCUUUUAAAGGGGUCAUAUGAUGCUGCUAAAAAGAACAUUAUUUUGUGUAUUUGGUGUAAUGAAAUGUGUUUAUAUGGUUUAAGGUUAAAAAACAAAUAAUUUUCCACAUACUGUACAUUAUUGUUUCUUCUCUAUGCCCCG
ensembl:lncRNA